rnacentral:snoRNA from 1 species
CUGUGACAUGAUGGCAUACCAUCUUUCGGGACUGACCUUAACACGUGGAGAGUUCCUUUUAUUUGCUGAUCACAG